ensembl:lncRNA
CAAGCCCCGCCCCCUUUAGGCCCCGCCCCUCACCGGUUCCAAACUGGGGGUCGACGAAGGCGUCCAUGAUGAUUGGCAGGCUCUGCCCGGUGAACGGGUGCACCACGCGCCGACCAAUCAGGUGCUGGGGGGGCGGGGCAACGCUGUCAUCCAUUGGCCACGCCCCCACCCCACGCCCGGAAGUCCCGCCCAUUGCUUCCCAGCCCCUCCUCCCCCCCCGCAUCCCUUUCCUCAUUAGGGUAACGAGCGGGGCAAUUAAUGGUGGGAAUUAAUGGGGAUCUGUGGGUCUGCCCCAUAGAGAGUCACCCAUGGGGCUCUAUGGGAUCUGUGGGGCUCUAUGGGUCGCUAUGGGAUCUAUGGGGAUCCAUGGGGCUCUAUGGGAUCUAUGGGGCUCUAUGGGGCUCCAUGGGGCUCUAUGGGAUCUAUGGGUCACCAUGAGAUCUGUGGGGAUCCAUGGGAUCUAUGGGAUCUAUGGGGCUCCAUCUAUGGGAUCUAUGGGGCUCUAUGGGAUCUAUGGGGCUCUAUGGGUCACUAUGGGAUCUAUGGGGCUCUAUGGGUCACUAUGGGAUCUAUGGGUCACUAUGGGUCACUAUAGGAUCUAUGGGGCUCUAUGGAUUGCUCCAUCUAUGGGAUCUAUGGGGCUCUAUGAGUUACUAUGGGAUCUGUGGGGCUCUAUGGGUUGCUAUGGGAUCUAUGGGGCUCUAUGGGGCUCUNNNNNNNNNNNNNNNNNNNNNNNNNNNNNNNNNNNNNNNNNNNNNNNNNNNNNNNNNNNNNAUGGGGCUCCAUCUAUGGGAUCUAUGGGGCUCUAUGAGUCACUAUGGGAUCUGUGGGGCUCUAUGGGUUGCUAUGGGAUCUAUGGGGCUCUAUGGGAUCUAUGGGGCUCUAUGGGUCACUAUGGGAUCUAUGAAUCGCUAUGGGUCUCCAUGGGGCUCUGUGGGAUCUAUGGGAUCUAUGGGGAUCUAUGGGGCUCUAUGGGAUCUAUGGGUCACCAUGGGAUCCAUGGGUCACUAUGGGAUCUAUGGGGCUCUAUGGGAUCCAUGGGUCACUAUGGGAUCUAUGGGGCUCUAUGGGAUCUAUGGGUCACAUGGGAUCUAUGGGUUGCUAUGGGAUCUGUGGGGCGCCAUGGAUCCCUAUGGGAUCGAUGGGGCUCUAUAGGUCACUAUAGGAUCUAUGGGAUCUAUGGGUCACCAUGGGAUCUAUGGGGCGCUAUGGGAUCUAUGGGGCUCUAUGGGCUGCUAUAGGAUCUAUGGGGCUCCAUCUAUGGGAUCUAUGAGUCUCUAUGGGGCUCUAUGAGAUCUAUGGGGCUCUAUGGGUCGCUAUGGGAUCUAUGGGGCUCCAUCUAUGGGAUCUAUGGGGCUCUAUGGGAUCUAUGGAGCUCUAUGGGUCACCAUGGGAUCUAUGGGUCAUUAUGGGAUCCGUGGGGAUCUAUGGGUUGCUAUGGGAUCUAUGGGUCCCUAUGGGAUCUGUGGGUCCCUAUGGGAUCUGUGGGUCCCUCUAUGGGUCACUAUGGGAUCUGUGGGUCCCUCUAUGGGUCCCUAUGGGAUCUAUAGGUCCCUCUAUGGGUCCCUAUGGGAUCUAUGGGUCCCACCCACAGAAGAAUCACCCUCCACCCCCCUGGAAGUUGUGCCUUCAGCCCACCUGAAGCCCCGCCCCCCUCCCCCCGGAAGUCCCGCCCCCCUCCUCCAGAAGCCCUGCCCCCGUCCUCCUGGAAGUCCC